UCCUGGGCUCAGAUUGAACGCUGGCGGCAUGCCUUACACAUGCAAGUCGAACGGUAACAGGGAGCUUGCUCCGCUGACGAGUGGCGAACGGGUGAGUAAUAUAUCGGAACGUACCUUUGAGUGGGGGAUAACUAGUCGAAAGACUAGCUAAUACCGCAUACGAUCUACGGAUGAAAGUGGGGGCUCGCAAGACCUCAUGCUCAUAGAGCGGCCGAUAUCUGAUUAGCUAGUUGGUGAGGUAAAGGCUCACCAAGGCAUCGAUCAGUAGCUGGUCUGAGAGGACGACCAGCCACACUGGGACUGAGACACGGCCCAGACUCCUACGGGAGGCAGCAGUGGGGAAUUUUGGACAAUGGGGGCAACCCUGAUCCAGCAAUGCCGCGUGAGUGAAGAAGGCCUUCGGGUUGUAAAGCUCUUUUGUCAGGGAAGAAACGGGAGUCCUAAUACGAGUCCUAAUGACGGUACU
rnacentral:rRNA from 1 species